rnacentral:rRNA from 1 species
AUGCGUCCUAUUAGCUAGUUGGUAAGGUAAUAGCUUACCAAGGCGACGAUAGGUAGGGGGCCUGAGAGGGUGAUCCCCCACACUGGUACUGAGACACGGACCAGACUCCUACGGGAGGCAGCAGUGAGGAAUAUUGGUCAAUGGAGGCAACUCUGAACCAGCCAUCCCGCGUGAAGGAUUGAAGGCGCUCGACGUCGUAAACUUCUUUUAUAUAGGAAUAAACUUAGGUACGUGUACUUAAUUGAAUGUACUAUAUGAAUAAGCAUCGGCUAACUCCGUGCCAGCAGCCGCGGUAAUACGGAGGAUGCAAGCGUUAUCCGGAUUUAUUGGGUUUAAAGGGUCCGCAGGCGGACCAGUCAGUCAGUGGUGAAAUCCCAUCGCUCAACGAUGGAACUGCCAUUGAUACUGCUGGUCUUGAGUCUAGUUGACGUAGGCGGAAUAUGACAUGUAGCGGUGAAAUGCAUAGAUAUGUCAUAGAACACCAAUUGCGAAGGCAGCUUACGAAACUACGACUGACGCUCAUGGACGAAAGCGUGGGUAGCGAACAGGAUUAGAUACCCUGGUAGUCCACGCCGUAAACGAUGAUCACUCGAUGUCAGCGAUAUACAGCUGGUGUCUUAGCGAAAGUUUUAAGUGAUCCACCUGGGGAGUACGUUCGCAAGAAUGAAACUCAAAGGAAUUGACGGGGGCCCGCACAAGCGGUGGAGCAUGUGGUUUAAUUCGAUGAUACGCGAGGAACCUUACCUGGGCUUAAAUGUAGAGUGCUUUAGAUGGAAACAUCUUUUUCUUCGGACGCUCUACAAGGUGCUGCAUGGCUGUCGUCAGCUCGUGCUGUGAGGUGUCGGGUUAAGUCCCAUAACGAGCGCAACCCCUAUCUUUAGUUGCUAACAGG